UUGUUGAAAUCUUUUAAAGGUGAGUACCUAUUUGUUAUUUAUUAAUAACUUUGAGUUAAAAAUAUAUAAUAUUAAUAAAAAUGAAAAAAUGUUCAUGGUAGAAUGUCCGAGGAGUGUCGACAUCCGACACCAACACGCUACCCUAGUUGAGUGUCCGUGCCACAUACAUCUCUCCUCUCAUUCAAACCCAAUCCCAAUCUGAAGGCUUAGAACUUUAAUGGCUGCUUUACUAUCUUCUCAAUACUUGUCUGUUCCCCUUAAUCUCUUCACCCCUUCCAUUUCUCUCUUCACAGUAAAAAGUAGCAGUCACUGCUUGCUCAUCGUCCUCCAUCUCCAGUCUAUUUGACAUCUUUUUUCUUCAGAAAAGACAAACUGAGAAACCAGUAAAGCCACGGCCGGUUCACCAGUUUCCAGUUGGACCAGCCAGUUGACUGAUUUUUCCACUGGCUUUCGUACAUACCAUUCUUACUAAUGAGGGCUGAACUGGCCAGUCCAGUCUGGUUUUUACAACACCACCCACCCACUCUGGUUUUUGGCCAUUCUCACCCCUGCGGGGCAGGGAUAGGUGGGGAUUUGUAGGGAAUUUGGUUUUUUAACUUUACUUUGCUUUUUUAUUUUCAUUUCCUUCCCUUUCCCUGUUUAUCUCAUUCUAAUUAUAAAGAAGAGUAUAACAAUCUUUUUUUAAAAAAAAAAAGUUGGACUAAAACCGCCUACUCUGGAUUGAUGUGCUUUAAACUUGACAGAACAAGGAUUUAAUGAAAAAAAUUAAACGUUCAGGACCAAUUUUCAUACAAGUUCCAUAGAUUGGGGACUUGCACUGCAAUUUCCAUCAAUUGUAGGUGGGGAUUUGUAGGGAAUUUGGUUUUUUAACUUUACUUUGCUUUUUUAUUUUCAUUUCCUUCCCUUUCCCUGUUUAUCUCAUUCUAAUUAUAAAGAAGAGUAUAACAAUCUUUUUUUUAAAAAAAAAAUUUGGACUAAAACCGCCUACUCUGGAUUGAUGUGCAUUAAACUUGAAAGAACAAGGAUUUAAUGAAAAAAAUUAAACGUUCAGGACCAAUUUUCAUACAAGUUCCAUAGAUUGGGGACUUGCACUGCAAUNN
rnacentral:lncRNA from 1 species